ACGUAGGGUGCAAGCGUUAAUCGGAAUUACUGGGCGUAAAGCGUGCGCAGGCGGUGAUGUAAGACAGGUGUGAAAUCCCCGGGCUUAACCUGGGAACUGCAUUUGUGACUGCAUCGCUGGAGUGCGGCAGAGGGGGAUGGAAUUCCGCGUGUAGCAGUGAAAUGCGUAGAUAUGCGGAGGAACACCGGUGGCGAAGGCGGCUUACUGGUCCAUUACUGACGCUGAGGUGCGAAAGCGUGGGGAGCAAACAGGA
rnacentral:rRNA from 1 species